GACGUAGGGCGCGAGCGUUGUCCGGAUUUAUUGGGCGUAAAGAGCUCGUAGGCGGCUCAUUGCGUCAACCGUGAAAACCAGCAGCUCAACUGUUGGCUUGCGGUUGAUACGGGUGGGCUGGAGUUCGGUAGGGGAGACUGGAAUUCCUGGUGUAGCGGUGAAAUGCGCAGAGAUCGGGAGGAACACCCGUAGCGAAGGCGGCACUCUGGGCCGAUACUGACGCUGAGGAGCGAAAGCGUGGGGAGCGAACAGG
rnacentral:rRNA from 1 species